rnacentral:rRNA from 1 species
GCUGUUUCGAGACCUUUCGAGGUGGAGAUUCUUUGGUGGAAACCGCCUUAAUCGCAGUGGCUUGAACCGGGCAAAAGUCGUAACAAGGUUUCCGUAGGUGAACCUGCGGAAGGAUCAUUAUCGAGCUUUUGAAAGCCUCAUAGCGUGCAUACUUCCAUUUGCGCGCACGUGAGCCGCGCGCCGUGUCGCAUGAUUGGUCGCCAGCUGUUUUGGCAGGCAAUGGCUAGCGCAUGGCGUGUGUUUUGAGGGUAUGCGGGUGAUGCGCCGUGCUAGGUGGCGUUUCGCGAGCGCUCGAGUACCCGUUAUUCGUAACAACGGUGUCCAUGUUGGUGUCUACGCUUCAUUGAGCUGCCGCCGGACCGUCGGUAGCGAUGAAAGAUGAAGGUACAGUUCCUCGGUGCGCGGCUGUAAUGCUGCUGCGCCGGGUAGAGCAGACUUAAUGAGCGUUCAGCUUGCGCGCCGCCAACGACCAAAACACAACCACAUCUGUGAGCGUUGCAGGAUGAAAAAGGCGCAUUCGUUUGCGCUUUAAACGUACUACUCUUAGCGGUGGAUCACUUGGCUCGUGGAUCGAUGAAGAACGCAGCUAGCUGCGAUAAAUAGUGCGAAUUGCAGACACAUUGAGCACGAAUACUUUGAACGCGCAUUGCGCCAUCGGGUUCAUUCCCGUUGGCACGUCUGGCUGAGGGUCGUUUUUGGUUCAACACGGAGGUGCGCUGCGUGAGCGCACAGUACGGCCGUGUCCUAGGCGGGCGGCUAUUCGAAGCAGGCACGAUUGGCUCGGAUACCCGGCUUGGAUUGGACGUGGCGCCAGCGAACUCGCUUGGAAAAGCGAGGCGUGCUACGUACGAGGUGAAGCGCGGCUCGGAUGCGGCGGUUCCCCAGCAAGUGUUGAUCGUGGUCCCGCCUUGGGCCAUUCGAUUCAUUCGUUGGGGAGGCGCGCGCGUGCGUGCGUCCGCUCUGCGCUGAUCGUACUAAUGUAGCGUUUGAAAUUUCUGACCUCAGCUCAGUCGUGACUACCCGCUGAAUUUAAGCAUAUAACUAAGCGGAGGAAAAGAAACUAACGAGGAUUCCCCCAGUAACGGCGAGUGAACGGGGAAGAGCCCAGCGCUGAAUCCCUCGGCCAUUGGUCGCUGGGAACUGUAGCGUAUAGGUGCGACUGUCCGCUCGUUUCGCGCACCCAAAGUCCCCUUGAGCGGGGCUACAGUCCAUAGAAGGUGCUAGACCUGUACGGGUGGCGAGGCGUGCGGUAGGUUGUUCCUUGGAGUCGGGUUGCCUGAGAUCGCAGCCCAAAGUUGGUGGUAGAUCUCAUCUAAGGCUAAAUACGGCCACGAGACCGAUAGCAAACAAGUACCGUGAGGGAAAGUUGCAAAGAACUUUGAAGAGAGAGUUCAAGAGGGCGUGAAACCGCUGAGAUUGAAACGGAUAGAGUUGACGGAACUCGAUGGCAUUCAACCGAUCCGAGCGGCGGCCUAGCGGCUCUGCGCCUCGAUGAGGACAGCGACGCGAGUAGCUGCAGCUUGCUGGUGGGUGUAUUUGCCGUCGGUAUGCGCUGAGAGGUUUGCCAGCGUGCGCUGAUGGGCGUGUAGCGGACCAUUCCUUCCGGGCGUGGAACCCUUCGCGCUUUGAGGCGUAUCGUUGGUGAAUUUGAAGUGCUGUCUUCGCUAUGGUGCGUCGUAUGCGGCGCGGCUGUUGCGGCUAUUGGGCGGUCGCGUGCGACUGCUUGUAGUUUGUGACAACCCGCCGUAUUGCUUGAUGCGUCGAGAUGGCAUCUCGGUGUGAACGUUGACCACCUAUCCGACCCGUCUUGAAACACGGACCAAGGAGUCUAGCAUAUGCGCGAGUCACUGGGUGGUAAACCUAAAGGCGUAAUGAAAGUAAACGUUGCCUUGAUGCAACUGAUAUGGGAUCCGUGUGUCCUAACGGUAGCACGGCGCACCAUAGCCCCGUCCUCGUUGCUUGCAACAGGGCGGAGGUAGAGCGCAUACGCUGGUACCCGAAAGAUGGUGAACUAUGCCUGAGCAGGAUGAAGCCAGAGGAAACUCUGGUGGAGGUCCGAAGCGGUUCUGACGUGCAAAUC